CCUACGGGAGGCAGCAGUAGGGAAUAUUGCUCAAUGGGCGAAACUCUGAACCAGCAAUGCCGCGUGGAGGAUGACGGUUUUCGGAUUGUUAACUCCCUUUUUUAGAGAAGUUAAUGACGAUAUCUAACUAAUAAUCACCGUCUAACUCCGUGCCAGCUGCCGCGGUAAUACGGAGGGUGCAAGCGUUACUCGGAAUCACUGGGCGUAAAGAGCGCGUAGGCGGGUUAGUAAGUUAGAUGUGAAAUCUCAGAGCUUAACUAUAGAACUGCAUUUAAAACUGUUGAUCUAGCGAGUGGAUGAGGUAGGUGGAAUGUAUGGUGUAGGGGUAAAAUGCGUAGAGAUCAAACAGAAUACUCAUUGCGAAGGCAGCCUACUAAACCAUAGCUGACGCUGAGGCGCGAAAGCGUGGGGAGCAAACAGGAUUAGAUACCCCGGUAGUC
rnacentral:rRNA from 1 species